ensembl:lncRNA LINC00964 long intergenic non-protein coding RNA 964
GUUCAUGGCAGGGACCGAGCAGUGAGGAUGGGCACUGCCCUGUGUCCUAGCAGAGGGCUGCCUUCUGGCUCCCCAGCCUUGGCCAGCAGCCCUUCUAUCUUCAUGCCAUGACCUAUUUUUGUUCACCCAGUUAGUGUAUGGCCUAUUUCUUUCCUUAAGAAUUACUUCAUAACUUUCACAGAGUAAUAGCACAUGCUGAGCACAGCAUUCAUGAACUUGGACACACGCACACAAAAUGUCCCUUUAAAUUCACAGAGCAGUAUCUGAGAUCCAGGUAGAAAGACCAAAAGGAAAAUUAAGAACAGACUCUCAGACCUGCCUUCCCUUUGCAUUCAGAUUGUCUACUUCCCCUCCUAGACUGUACUCUCCACAAGAGAGCAAAGCUGUGUCUGUUGCAUUCACUGUUGUCUUCCCAGAAGCAAGCAGCAUGCUGGAGACCCUCAAAUACAUGUGAAAUGAAGGGACACCUUGUGUUAUUUCACCUGUUUCCACCUGGUUCCCAAGUGGCAAGCUUGCAUUGAGGUUACAAAGUGGCAAAGCUGGGAUAUCACAUGAUGUCACCAUGAUGCUAUAUGAAAUGUAACAUUAAUUGAGUACCUAUGUGACCAGUUCUUUAAUUCUGUAAGUGAACUCUCAAAAAACCCUAGGUAAGUAUUAUCAACUCGAACUUUAACGGAUGAGGAAACUGGAAUUUUUUAAAAAAUGACUUAACCAAACAUCACAGAGCUGUAAACCAGGAUUUGAAUGGGUGAGCUGCACUCAGCCUUCAUCUCAAGUCAGUUUGCCUCUUUCUCCAAGAAGCCACAGUUGAUCCUGACCACAUCACAUAUGAGUUGCCUGGAUUGCAGUCAUUCAUUCACUAAGCAUCUUUUAGGAGGUCACAUGCCAGGCACCGUGUUAGGUAAUGAUUUCUCCAAGUCACAGGAGCCGUGGUUCUGACUUUAGAAAGUUUCUCAUCUGAUGGGAGGGCAGGCAAGUAAAUCAGUAAGGGUGGUCCCUGUCGGGACACUGGUUGAGAAAUACCCAGGAACACUCUGAUUGAGAAAUACCCAAAGUGCAAAGUGACAGGGACUAGAGGCAUCUCCACUGGACCAGAGAGCUCUGGAUUCGUCUUGAGCUAAGUCUCUGGAGAGCACUGCGUGUUUUGAAAUAUACAAAUAGUGGGAAACGAAAUCUUUGUUCUGGAUGCAGUUAUAAUUUGGAAAGCGAGGAAAUAAAUUAUAACAAGGGGAAAAAACAGACACAGAGGGAUUGAAAUGCAUAACAAUAGAGAUGAAACACGAAGAGUGAUAAAUGAAGAUUGAGUGUGCACACCUUCUGGAGGAGCCCUGAUUGAGUAUUUUAAAAUACUACUAAAGUCAUGCCGUGUGACUUCUGAAGCUAGCUCCUAAGAAGUCCUUGCAGCUUCUGCCUGCGACUCUUAGAACACUUGCUUUGAAGGAUGCCAGAUGCUGUCUUAAAAGUCUGAGCACUCUGAAACCAUCAUGCUGUGAGGAAGCCCAAGCUAACCACAUGGGCAAAAAAGAUGCCCUCUGACUGCCACCAUUUGAGACACUCUAAUUAAGAACUGCCUCAUUGAGCCCAUGAGGCCCUGUGAAUGAUAAUAAUAAAUUGUUUUUAACCACUAUGUUUUUGGAUUUGUUAUAAGUUUAUAGAUAACAAGAAAAAGUUAUAUUAGCAUGGUAAUAAAAUUAUGGAUAUGUGUAA